rnacentral:lncRNA from 1 species
CAGCUGUUUUUUAAGCUUGAGGGAACACUGGCUGACAUACCGAACACCAGAUCCAGAGCCAGCAAGUGGUAUAUAUAAACCUGGAGAUGGCCCAGCAGUCCACACACCACUGAACACUGUAGAGGUAAAAUCCUGAGGUGACUAAGGAAUGGAGAGCUAAGCCCAUUAUCUCUAAAGAGUGAAAAGGACCUGCUGUGAUGGAAGCUGCCUUACUGAACACAUUUCCAUGCUGGGAGAAGGCAGAAAACCAUGUUGCCCAAAGGAUUCUACUCCGGAACUAAGCAGUGAGUCACUGAACCUAAUGGCAGAUGGACAUAAACCAGCUUCACAAAGAAAAGUGGAGAGGGAGAAAAACACAGCAAGCACCGAGCUGUCUGUCAGACUAUAUUAAAGGUACCUGGAGUCACAAGAGAAGAUGAAAAAAAGAAAGGACAGAAGAAAUAGUUGAAGAGACAAAAGCUACUAAAAGAGACUUAUAAAUAUAUUCAACCAAGGAUCCAAAGAACUUGGAGUAAGAUAAACGCCUAAUAAAAGCAAAACAAAGUUAAAAUAAGUCA